GGUAGGCAUUGAGGCAGCCAGCGCAGGGGCUUCUGCUGAGGGGGCAGGCGGAGCUUGAGGAAACCGCAGAUAAGUUUUUUUCUCUUUGAAAGAUAGAGAUUAAUACAACUACUUAAAAAAUAUAGUCAAUAGGUUACUAAGAUAUUGCUUAGCGUUAAGUUUUUAACGUAAUUUUAAUAGCUUAAGAUUUUAAGAGAAAAUAUGAAGACUUAGAAGAGUAGCAUGAGGAAGGAAAAGAUAAAAGGUUUCUAAAACAUGACGGAGGUUGAGAUGAAGCUUCUUCAUGGAGUAAAAAAUGUAUUUAAAAGAAAAUUGAGAGAAAGGACUACAGAGCCCCGAAUUAAUACCAAUAGAAGGGCAAUGCUUUUAGAUUAAAAUGAAGGUGACUUAAACAGCUUAAAGUUUAGUUUAAAAGUUGUAGGUGAUUAAAAUAAUUUGAAGGCGAUCUUUUAAAAAGAGAUUAAACCGAAGGUGAUUAAAAGACCUUGAAAUCCAUGACGCAGGGAGAAUUGCGUCAUUUAAAGCCUAGUUAACGCAUUUACUAAACGCAGACGAAAAUGGAAAGAUUAAUUGGGAGUGGUAGGAUGAAACAAUUUGGAGAAGAUAGAAGUUUGAAGUGGAAAACUGGAAGACAGAAGUACGGGAAGGCGAAGAAAAGAAUAGAGAAGAUAGGGAAAUUAGAAGAUAAAAACAUACUUUUAGAAGAAAAAAGAUAAAUUUAAACCUGAAAAGUAGGAAGCAGAAGAAAAAAGACAAGCUAGGAAACAAAAAGCUAAGGGCAAAAUGUACAAACUUAGAAGAAAAUUGGAAGAUAGAAACAAGAUAGAAAAUGAAAAUAUUGUCAAGAGUUUCAGAUAGAAAAUGAAAAACAAGCUAAGACAAGUAUUGGAGAAGUAUAGAAGAUAGAAAAAUAUAAAGCCAAAAAUUGGAUAAAAUAGCACUGAAAAAAUGAGGAAAUUAUUGGUAACCAAUUUAUUUUAAAAGCCCAUCAAUUUAAUUUCUGGUGGUGCAGAAGUUAGAAGGUAAAGCUUGAGAAGAUGAGGGUGUUUACGUAGACCAGAACCAAUUUAGAAGAAUACUUGAAGCUAGAAGGGGAAGUUGGUUAAAAAUCACAUCAAAAAGCUACUAAAAGGACUGGUGUAAUUUAAAAAAAACUAAGGCAGAAGGCUUUUGGAAGAGUUAGAAGAAUUUGGAAGGCCUUAAAUAUAGUAGCUUAGUUUGAAAAAUGUGAAGGACUUUCGUAACGGAAGUAAUUCAAGAUCAAGAGUAAUUACCAACUUAAUGUUUUUGCAUUGGACUUUGAGUUAAGAUUAUUUUUUAAAUCCUGAGGACUAGCAUUAAUUGACAGCUGACCCAGGUGCUACACAGAAGUGGAUUCAGUGAAUCUAGGAAGACAGCAGCAGACAGGAUUCCAGGAACCAGUGUUUGAUGAAGCUAGGACUGAGGAGCAAGCGAGCAAGCAGCAGUUCGUGGUGAAGAUAGGAAAAGAGUCCAGGAGCCAGUGCGAUUUGGUGAAGGAAGCUAGGAAGAAGGAAGGAGCGCUAACGAUUUGGUGGUGAAGCUAGGAAAAAGGAUUCCAGGAAGGAGCGAGUGCAAUUUGGUGAUGAAGGUAGCAGGCGGCUUGGCUUGGCAACCACACGGAGGAGGCGAGCAGGCGUUGUGCGUAGAGGAUCCUAGACCAGCAUGCCAGUGUGCCAAGGCCACAGGGAAAGCGAGUGGUUGGUAAAAAUCCGUGAGGUCGGCAAUAUGUUGUUUUUCUGGAACUUACUUAUGGUAUCUCUUCGUUAUCAGAAGAGUUGCUUCAUUUCAUCUGGGAGCAGAAAACAGCAGGCAGCUGUUAACAGAUAAGUUUAACUUGCAUCUGCAGUAUUGCAUGUUAGGGAUAAGUGCUUAUUUUUAAGAGCUGUGGAGUUCUUAAAUAUCAACCAUGGCACUUUCUCCUGACCCCUUCCCUAGGGGAUUUCAGGAUUGAGAAAUUUUUCCAUCGAGCCUUUUUAAAAUUGUAGGACUUGUUCCUGUGGGCUUCAGUGAUGGGAUAGUACACUUCACUCAGAGGCAUUUGCAUCUUUAAAUAAUUUCUUAAAAGCCUCUAAAGUGAUCAGUGCCUUGAUGCCAACUAAGGAAAUUUGUUUAGCAUUGAAUCUCUGAAGGCUCUAUGAAAGGAAUAGCAUGAUGUGCUGUUAGAAUCAGAUGUUACUGCUAAAAUUUACAUGUUGUGAUGUAAAUUGUGUAGAAAACCAUUAAAUCAUUCAAAAUAAUAAACUAUUUUUAUUAGAGAAUGUAUACUUUUAGAAAGCUGUCUCCUUAUUUAAAUAAAAUAGUGUUUGUCUGUAGUUCAGUGUUGGGGCAAUCUUGGGGGGGAUUCUUCUCUAAUCUUUCAGAAACUUUGUCUGCGAACACUCUUUAAUGGACCAGAUCAGGAUUUGAGCGGAAGAACGAAUGUAACUUUAAGGCAGGAAAGACAAAUUUUAUUCUUCAUAAAGUGAUGAGCAUAUAAUAAUUCCAGGCACAUGGCAAUAGAGGCCCUCUAAAUAAGGAAUAAAUAACCUCUUAGACAGGUGGGAGAUUAUGAUCAGAGUAAAAGGUAAUUACACAUUUUAUUUCCAGAAAGUCAGGGGUCUAUAAAUUGACAGUGAUUAGAGUAAUACUUUUUCACAUUUCCAAAGUUUGCAUGUUAACUUUAAAUGCUUACAAUCUUAGAGUGGUAGGCAAUGUUUUACACUAUUGACCUUAUAUAGGGAAGGGAGGGGGUGCCUGUGGGGUUUUAAAGAAUUUUCCUUUGCAGAGGCAUUUCAUCCUUCAUGAAGCCAUUCAGGAUUUUGAAUUGCAUAUGAGUGCUUGGCUCUUCCUUCUGUUCUAGUGAGUGUAUGAGACCUUGCAGUGAGUUUAUCAGCAUACUCAAAAUUUUUUUCCUGGAAUUUGGAGGGAUGGGAGGAGGGGGUGGGGCUUACUUGUUGUAGCUUUUUUUUUUUUUACAGACUUCACAGAGAAUGCAGUUGUCUUGACUUCAGGUCUGUCUGUUCUGUUGGCAAGUAAAUGCAGUACUGUUCUGAUCCCGCUGCUAUUAGAAUGCAUUGUGAAACGACUGGAGUAUGAUUAAAAGUUGUGUUCCCCAAUGCUUGGAGUAGUGAUUGUUGAAGGAAAAAAUCCAGCUGAGUGAUAAAGGCUGAGUGUUGAGGAAAUUUCUGCAGUUUUAAGCAGUCGUAUUUGUGAUUGAAGCUGAGUACAUUUUGCUGGUGUAUUUUUAGGUAAAAUGCUUUUUGUUCAUUUCUGGUGGUGGGAGGGGACUGAAGCCUUUAGUCUUUUCCAGAUGCAACCUUAAAAUCAGUGACAAGAAACAUUCCAAACAAGCAACAGUCUUCAAGAAAUUAAACUGGCAAGUGGAAAUGUUUAAACAGUUCAGUGAUCUUUAGUGCAUUGUUUAUGUGUGGGUUUCUCUCUCCCCUCCCUUGGUCUUAAUUCUUACAUGCAGGAACACUCAGCAGACACACGUAUGCGAAGGGCCAGAGAAGCCAGACCCAGUAAGAAAAAAUAGCCUAUUUACUUUAAAUAAACCAAACAUUCCAUUUUAAAUGUGGGGAUUGGGAACCACUAGUUCUUUCAGAUGGUAUUCUUCAGACUAUAGAAGGAGCUUCCAGUUGAAUUCACCAGUGGACAAAAUGAGGAAAACAGGUGAACAAGCUUUUUCUGUAUUUACAUACAAAGUCAGAUCAGUUAUGGGACAAUAGUAUUGAAUAGAUUUCAGCUUUAUGCUGGAGUAACUGGCAUGUGAGCAAACUGUGUUGGCGUGGGGGUGGAGGGGUGAGGUGGGCGCUAAGCCUUUUUUUAAGAUUUUUCAGGUACCCCUCACUAAAGGCACCGAAGGCUUAAAGUAGGACAACCAUGGAGCCUUCCUGUGGCAGGAGAGACAACAAAGCGCUAUUAUCCUAAGGUCAAGAGAAGUGUCAGCCUCACCUGAUUUUUAUUAGUAAUGAGGACUUGCCUCAACUCCCUCUUUCUGGAGUGAAGCAUCCGAAGGAAUGCUUGAAGUACCCCUGGGCUUCUCUUAACAUUUAAGCAAGCUGUUUUUAUAGCAGCUCUUAAUAAUAAAGCCCAAAUCUCA
rnacentral:lncRNA from 1 species